GCAAAAGAGAGUAGCCCAGCUGGCAGAGCAUGAGAGUUUUAAUCUCAGGGUUGUGGGUUUGAGCCCCACAUUGGGCAAGUUUCCUGCA